rnacentral:rRNA from 1 species
UAGGGAAUCUUCGGCAAUGGACGAAAGUCUGACCGAGCAACGCCGCGUGAGUGAAGAAGGUUUUCGGAUCGUAAAACUCUGUUGUUAGAGAAGAACAAGGACGUUAGUAACUGAACGUCCCCUGACGGUAUCUAACCAGAAAGCCACGGCUAACUACGUGCCAGCAGCCGCGGUAAUACGUAGGUGGCAAGCGUUGUCCGGAUUUAUUGGGCGUAAAGCGAGCGCAGGCGGUUUCUUAAGUCUGAUGUGAAAGCCCACGGCUCAACCGGGGAGGGUCAUUGGAAACUGGGAGACUUGAGUGCAGAAGAGGGGAGUGGAAUUCCAUGUGUAGCGGUGAAAUGCGUAGAUAUAUGGAGGAACACCAGUGGCGAAGGCGGCUCUCUGGUCUGUAACUGACGCUGAGGCUCGAAAGCGUGGGGAGCAAACAGG